rnacentral:tRNA from 1 species
GGGGCUGUAGCACAGCCUGGCUCAAUGCCCCGGCCUCGGACGCCGGUGAUCGGGAGUUCGAAUCUCCCCAGCCCCA